rnacentral:lncRNA from 1 species
ACCGAGCAUGAGAACACGCAAGUAAGCAGUGAGAGGUAGAUUCAUCCCUAUUAUCACAAACCGGACAAGAGAUACACGGGGAGCAGCACCGGCUGUACUGGUUCAACUUAGUAGCAAUGGCAUAUGAGGCACAUCUCCAUAAGAAGACCAGAACCUUGGGUGAAGCAUCAAUCUUCCAGAACCAUUUCGAACACCCAAUUUGAUCCAGCGUCAUCCCCUGGUUAAAGCAGACAAGACUUUGACCUGAGACAUGAUACACUGACUUAACCGAG